AUUGAUAAAUAAACAAAUCCUGUUGCUGCUCACCAAGAGGACUGCUUAACAGAUUUACCCAUGUGAGAGGUGGCUCGCUUACAAGUUAAUGCCCACGCACCCAAAGGGCCAGCUCCUGCAUUUUUUCACUUCACCGAUGCCAAAGCCACUUUGCCCACCUUUGCAGCAGACGCAGGGAAUUAACUAUCUCAAGAAGUGGCCCUUAGUUAUUAACUGAUGGCAGCUGGUCCCAGGGUAUCCAAGAAGCUGUCAUCCAGGUCUUCUCCAAUGAAGCUACAACAACCCACAGAGCCAGCAGGGGAACCUACACCUUCGAUGUCAUAUAUGAGCAAACAGUCAUUAGAUGGGCGUCCUUCAUCUUCAUCUGCAUGGACUUAUUUAUAAUUGUGUACUUUGGACAUAAAACCAUACACAAAAAAAUCACAUGAAUUGGUUUCGAGGAGGAGCCAAGAUGGCCGAAUAGGAACAGCUC
rnacentral:lncRNA from 10 species